UUUGAAUAUUUAGGUUUUUAUUAUAAAAGGUUUUUUGUUAGUUUAUUAGAAAAAAUGUUUUAUGUUUUAUUAUGAUUUAUGAAAAAUUUGUUUUAAUUAUAGAUAAUUUGUAAUGUGAAUGAUAAUUUAAAAUUUUAAUAAGUAGAUUUUGUUUUGUACCUUUUGUAUCAGGGUUGAUUAAUUUAUAAUAAUUAUUUGUUGAUCUCGAAUUUAAAAGAGCUAAUUAUAUUGUUAUUUUUUUGUUGAAUAAGAAUUUAUGAAAUAUAGUUUGUAAUGAAACGUUAUUCGUUUUUAAAUAUAUCUAGUUUCUUAAGAUAAAAGUUUAAUUUUAUUAUUAAAAUUUGAAUAGUUUAAUUAUUUAAAUUAUUUUAGUUUAAUUUAUAUAUUAAAUGGGAUGAGCUUUUUAAUAUUAUGUUAUAAAAAAUGAUUUUUGUUCCAAAUUAUAGGAUUAGAAUUUUCCAUUAAAAUUAGUGUGUUUUAAUAAUUUGAUUUGUGUAUAAAAUUUAGUUAUUUUUAAUUAUUUAUUAAGAUAAAUUCAGGAAUUUUUUAUGUUUUGAAAUAAUGAUUAAAUAAGUAUAGUUUGUUGUUAUAUUUUGGUUAACUAGAAAGAUUAAGCUAAGGAAUUCGGCAAAUAUUAUUUUCACCUGUUUACUAAAAACAUGUCUUUUUGAUUAUAAUUUGAAGUUUAACCUGCCCACUGAAAGUUUAAAGGGCCGCGGUAUUUUGACUGUGCAAAGGUAGCAUAAUCAUUAGUUUUUUAAUUGAAAGCUGGAAUGAAUGGUUGAAUGAAAAAUUAACUGUCUCAGUUUAAUAUAAUUAGAAUUUAAUUUUUAGAUUAAAAAGUCUAGAUUUAAUUAGAAGACGAGAAGACCCUAUAGAGUUUAAUAUUGUAUUUUUUAUAAUUUAAUUAGAAUUUAUUUGUUUAUAUGAGUAUAAUGUUUAGUUGGGGUGACUGAAAAAUUUGUUAAACUUUUUUAAUAUUUUACACUGAUUUGUGAUAGGAUGAUCCAAUUUAUUGAUUAUAAGGAAAAAUUACCUUAGGGAUAACAGCGUAAUCAUUUUUAGAGUUCUUAUCGAAAGAAUGGGUUGCGACCUCGAUGUUGGAUUAAAGUAAGGCUUAGGCGCAGGAGUUUAAGUCUCUUGGUCUGUUCGACCAUUAAAUCUUUACAUGAUCUGAGUUUAAACCGGUGUGAGCCAGGUUGGUUUCUAUCUUUAAUUUAAUGGGGUUUUUUAGUACGAAAGGACCAAUAACCUGAGUUAUACUUUAUAUUUGAGUACUAUU
rnacentral:rRNA from 1 species